rfam:Cordyceps confragosa RCEF 1005 scaffold_2, whole genome shotgun sequence.
UCCGAUGUCGUCUAGUGGUUUUAGGAUCCUGCGCUUUCAAGAUUUAUUGAGUGCCGCAGUGGCCGGGGUUCGAUUCCCCGCAUCGGAG